AUUGAACGCUGGCGGCAUGCUUUACACAUGCAAGUCGAACGGCAGCACGGGCUUCGGCCUGGUGGCGAGUGGCGAACGGGUGAGUAAUGCGUCGGAACGUGCCGAGUAAUGGGGGAUAACGCUUCGAAAGGAGUGCUAAUACCGCAUACGCUCUGAGGAGGAAAGCGGGGGACCUUCGGGCCUCGCGUUAUUCGAGCGGCCGACGUCUGAUUAGCUAGUUGGUGAGGUAAAGGCUCACCAAGGCGACGAUCAGUAGCGGGUCUGAGAGGAUGAUCCGCCACACUGGGACUGAGACACGGCCCAGACUCCUACGGGAGGCAGCAGUGGGGAAUUUUGGACAAUGGGGGAAACCCUGAUCCAGCCAUGCCGCGUGUCUGAAGAAGGCCUCGGUUGUAAGG
rnacentral:rRNA from 1 species